AUGCUGGCUUGCUGGCUGUGUACCUGCCACGCUGCUGGAGUGGGAAAUCCCGCCCGGGCGCCUCGUGGAAGCAGCUCCUCCCUAAAACCAUCCUUAACUCCUUUCCCUGCUAGACCGAGUCACCUUCCCAUCGACUCGGGCCGUGCUUUGGCUGACUGGCUCGCCUCUUGCUUUGGCAACCUCCUCGCUUCUCCCAGCCCUCUGGUUUCCCUGCCCUUCAGGGUUGCUCCUCUCUCCUUCCGUGGACCUGGAAACAUCGAAGCCGUAUCAGAUGAUGCCAAACACUUCCCCCAUUUCACCCCCGUUUGAACUCCGUGUUGCUUUGGUGGUUUGCAAACACAGCUGCUGCUGCUGCUGCUUCUUCAUUUUCUCUCUUUUUUUUUUUUUUUUUUCCUCCUUUCAUGCUGCAAAAUAUAUCUGGAUUUUUAUCUUCCUGGGCCAAACUCUGUUAUUUUCUAAGCUGGUCUGAGGUAGACGGCUCUUUCUGUAUCAGUGACCAUACAAUUCCUCCUUGCACCUUGCAAAUUCAAUGUUCCGUUAGGUCCCUUGGCAAAUCCUGGCCCGCAGUGAAAAAAAUGCCUCUGAAUCACAAGGAUAUUUGUCCCUGGGCUCUGCUGAGGUGUCAGUGCAAGGGUGCUAGCCCAGUUUUAGGGGGUUCUUGCUGGUGCAUCUCCCUUUGAGGUGGCCAUGGUGGAGAUGCUCCAGUGCUGGUUUCAUGCCACUGUGGGGGUUGCAGGACUGGGGCACCCUGAGCUGGGGGAGGUGACAUGUAGAGGUGGGUACAGGAUGCCACUGAGAUCCUGUGGAAGAGGGGCCGUCGUGGGAUGCUGUCCCUUGCUGCAUAACGAGUCCUGGAGCAGGCAGGGAAAAAGGGCAGGGAAAGUGCUUUGCCUGCUUUUGCAGCAGGACUUGCUGAGCUCUCAUCCACGUGUUUCUAAGGUGACUUUGCCAUGCAGCUCCAGCGGCGUUCUGGUUCCGUGGUGUUGAUGUGAAGGAAAAUGCAAGUUAGUGUAAUUGGGGAGAGAGGGAGCGUUCAGGGCUCUUUGUGGCUGUUUCUGUGCCUGUCACUAACAGCACCCACAGGCACAGGGAGUGAUGGGUUUGUGGGAUGGGGGAGCUGGAAGGUCCCAGAGUCUCUUCCCAGUCUGAACCUCAGCAUGGUUUGCACUCUGUGAGCCCCCAGGGUGUCUGUGUGAGCAGGGGACGCUUUUCCUGGGAGGAUUCUCAUUCCUGCUGCCCUGUGCCAGUCACCUGUGGCUGCUUUGGGGCAUUGGUGGACUCCAGGCUGUUCAUCUGGUGUUUGUCACCUUGUCAGCUGGCCCAGUGCCACCCAGUGGAAGGCUGGAGGUGAUGCUGUUUGGAUAUAUAAAUGUAAAGGAAAUAUAAAGGCAAUAACAACUUUCUGUACCUGCGUCUGGGAGUGUUGAGGACACUGGAUUUGGGCUCAGAAGCCCAGGCACGGUCCUGGCAGGGCUUAGUCAUGUCUGGUGGCAUCUGGACAUGACACAUUCCAGACUCAUUGCUGCUCCCACCUUGCUGUCUGUAUUAGGACAAAAUCUGCCUGGCAUUUUGGUUUCUCUUCCUGCUUCAGGCAGUGACGUAGACUGGGGAGUUCUCGGAGUUUUGGGUUGGUUUCAGCUGUAGCUCUUGUCUGGAGGUAUUUUUCCAUGAGGCUGGACCUUCAGGGAUUUCCACACGUCCCACAUGGGCUCGCUGCAGCCCCAGAGUGAAGUCAGGGCUCUUGUGGAAGGAAAUCUUCUCAAGGAACCGGAGUAAAACCCACUGUACAUAUGAGAUAUAAAUAGAUAGAGAAGCGUAGGACAAAGGUAGAUAGGUUUGCAGAAUUCAGUAGAUUUGCAUGUCGGGGUAUGUGUGUCACUAGGGGAGAGUUUAGAGCCGUGCUGGAGCGGGGGAUGAGGAUGGGCAAAGCAGGGAAGGGGCUGGGAGCAGCUGCAGCCUGAGGGGAAUUUGGGGAUGGAGAGGCACCAGCGUGACCUGCUCUGCCGCCCUGCUGCACACAACAGAUCGCUCUGUUUCAUUAUUUCACCCCCAGUUUUUAGCUUUGUUCAUUGUCUGUGACUCACCCCUGGGCUGUGACAUGGAGGAGCAGGAGGGACAGGUCCUGUGCUGGGCACACGGGGCGUGACACGGACACGACACGCCAGGGGGAUGUCACGUUGCCUCAUCUCUGGUGCCAGCGCUUAAAGAGAAAGCUGCACCACGCAAAAACCCUUCCCUCUAGUCCCUCUAGAUGCUGCUCUCUGGUUACUCAUGUGAAAGCAUUUUGCUUUUCAUCUGUUCUUCCCAGAAAAGCGUGAGUCAGAAGGGAUGACAGAGGGAUACAGCUAAAUUUGUCCCCUGAGCUGAGGAAUGCAGCACUGGCUGUGCCAGGCGGCCCAGCAGCGCCUCCUGGGAGAGACAAGAUGUUCUUGACAGUGUCUUUUUAUUUUAAACCUCAUUAGCAGCACUUUGAGGAUCUGAGGCAGAGAGGGGAUUUGGUCACCAGUGAUGCUGGUACUGACCCAGGCAUGGGGGCAGCCGGAUUCAGGCUGGAUUCCCACUGCUCUCCCAGAGCCAUCCCUGUGCUGUCUGGCAGCCCUUACAGAAAGCAGGAUAUUUACUCCCAUUUUCCCCCUUCAGCUUAAUUUUACUGGGUUGUUUUUUUUCUGUUUCUGAGUAUCUUGACUCCUCUCUGCCCCUGUUUGUGGGAAGAAGAGGUGGGAAGUGCAGUUGUUCCUAUUAGGGGUCUGUCAGGGAAUGCUUGAACUGAGGGCUGGGAAGCAGCAACCAGAUUUGGCAACACUGGUGCCAGCAAAAGGAGAAACUUAACAUUGCACUUAAUUCCCAUCAGUUGGCACAUCCCCACGCAGGGAGGACCAGUGUGGUGGUGGGAAGGGUCUGGAGAUGGGAGUCUGUUCCCCUGCCUGGGUACUGGCAUGAGAAGGAGCCGUGUUUGCCCAUUUCCCCUGUUUUUAGGUGUUUUGCCACAGCUGGCUGAGCUCUUUUCCUCGGCAUUGCGUGGCAGCAGGAUGAGCAUCCCCAGUCCUGGGGCUCUGGCUGACUUUUGAUACGUGCAUGGAUGGAGGAAGGACCUGGGGAGGGGGUGGGCAGAGAAA
rnacentral:lncRNA from 12 species